GUAGGUGGCAAGCGUUGUCCGGAAUUAUUGGGCGUAAAGCGCGCGCAGGCGGUUCUUUAAGUCUGAUGUGAAAGCCCACGGCUCAACCGUGGAGGGUCAUUGGAAACUGGAGAACUUGAGUACAGAAGAGGAAAGCGGAAUUCCACGUGUAGCGGUGAAAUGCGUAGAGAUGUGGAGGAACACCAGUGGCGAAGGCGGCUUUCUGGUCUGUAACUGACGCUGAGGCGCGAAAGCGUGGGGAGCAAACAGGGAUUAGAUACCCUGGUAGUCCACGCCGUAAACGAUGAGUGCUAAUGUUAGGGGGUUUCCGCCCCCUUAGUGCUGCAGCUAACGCAUUAAGCACUCCGCCUGGGGAGUACGGCCGCAAGGCUG
rnacentral:rRNA from 1 species